rnacentral:rRNA from 1 species
UGGGGAAUCUUGGACAAUGGGCGCAAGCCUGAUCCAGCCAUGCCGCGUGAGUGAUGAAGGCCCUAGGGUUGUAAAGCUCUUUCAGUGGUGAAGAUAAUGACAUUAGCCACAGAAGAAGCCCCGGCUAACUUCGUGCCAGCAGCCGCGGUAAUACGAAGGGGGCUAGCGUUGUUCGGAAUUACUGGGCGUAAAGCGCGCGUAGGCGGACCAGUCAGUCAGGGGUGAAAGCCCGGCGCUCAACGCCGGAACUGCCUUUGAUACUGCUGGUCUUGAGACCGGGAGAGGAGAGUGGAAUUCCCAGUGUAGAGGUGAAAUUCGUAGAUAUUGGGAAGAACACCCGUGGCGAAGGCGGCUCUCUGGCCCGGUUCUGACGCUCAGGUGCGAAAGCGUGGGGAGCAAACAGGAUUAGAUACCCCCGUAGUCC